UACGGAGGGGGCGAGCGUUAUUCGGAAUCAUUGGGCGUAAAGGGCGUGUAGGCGGCCUCGUGUGUCCUCUGUGAAAGCCCUCGGCUCAACCGAGGAAUCGCAUGGGAAACUGCGGGGCUUGAGUCCGGGAGAGGAGAGCGGAAUUCCCAGUGUAGCGGUGAAAUGCGUAGAUACUGGGAGGAACACCAGUGGCGAAGGCGGCUCUCUGGACCGGUACUGACGCUGAGACGCGAAAGCUAGGGGAGCAAACGGG
rnacentral:misc_RNA from 1 species